rnacentral:rRNA from 1 species
CCCUUAGAUGUUCUGGGCAGCACGCGCGCUACAAUGGUCUUCGCAAACGGAUGCAUUCUCGAAGGAGAAUGCCAAUCUUGGAAUCUAUGCCUUGGUCGGGACAGUUGCUUGCAAUUUUUCGACUCGAACCAGGAAUUCCUUGUAAUCGUGAUUCAUCACAUCACGAUGAAUACGUCCCUGCCCUUUGUACACACCGCCCGUCGCCCUACCGAUCGAAGAGUUAGGUGAAUUGUUUUGAUCGAUAAGAUUUGACUAUGGUCAACUCUCGUUGUGAAAUUCUGUGAAUCUGACUGUUUAGAGGAAGGAAAAGUCGUAACA